UGAGCAAUCUGCCCUUCUCAUCGGAAUAAGCGUUGGAAACGACGUCUAAUCGCCGAAUACGACCUCCUUUCACAUGAUCUGAAGUGGAAAGCUCCGGCGGUGAAGGAUGAGCUCGCGGCCUAUCAGCUUGUUGGUGAGGUAAUAGCUCACCAAGGCGAUGACGGGUAGCCGGCUGAGGAGGGUGGCCGGCCACACUGGGACUGAGACACGGCCCAGACUCCGUACGGGG
rnacentral:rRNA from 1 species